rnacentral:rRNA from 1 species
UACGAGGGGGGCGAGCGUUGUUCGGAAUUAUUGGGCGUAAAGGGUGCGUAGGCGGUUCCGCAAGUCCUGUGUGAAAUCUUCGGGCUCAACUCGAAGUCUGCACGGGAAACUGCGGGGCUUGAGUACUGGAGAGGAGAUUGGAAUUUACGGUGUAGCAGUGAAAUGCGUAGAUAUCGUAAGGAAGACCAGUGGCGAAGGCGAAUCUCUGGACAGUUACUGACACUGAGGCACGAAGGCCAGGGGAGCAAACGGG